rnacentral:lncRNA from 1 species
GUGGAGGAGGACACGGAGUUGGUGGAGGAGGCGGUGGCGGACAUGGCGUCUCUGGGGUUGGAGUUGGCGGUGGUGGCGGGGUUACGACUGGUGGGGUUGGAGUUGGCGGUGGAGGAGAAGGCGUAGGAGAUGGAGUGUACGGAGGUGGUGGCUUGACGGUGGGCGGUUUUGGAGUGUAAGGUGGAGGGGAUGGAGUGUACGGAGCUGGAGGCUUGACGGUGGGCGGCUUUGGGGUGUGAUGAGGUGGCUUGACGGUGGGUGGUUUGGGAGUGUGAGGAGGUAGUUUUGGGGUGUGAUGAGGUGGCUUAACGGUGGGUGGUUUUGGAGUGUGAUGAGGUGGUUUUGGAGUGUGAUGAGGUGGUUUGACGGCGGGUGGUUUUGGAGUGUGUUGUGGUGGCUUGACAGUGGGUGGUUUAGGCGGUUUAAUGGGAUGUUUGGGAGGUUUAACGGGGUGUGGAGAUGAUUUUGGAGGGUCACUGCAGUCACAAGCGUAAGAGACGGCGCAGAAACCAAGGAGGAGAAGUAUCAAAAAGGAGAG